rfam:Oryza sativa Japonica Group DNA, chromosome 6, cultivar: Nipponbare, complete sequence.
GAUUUCAAUUGAAAAAGUCAUCAACAACAAAGUUAAAUAACUCAUCAAGAUCUAAAACUUUUAUUUUUGUUAUUUCUUCAUCCGACGAAAUGUUAGUAAUAUUAUUCACAAAUUUUACAUAUAUGUGUUAUAGUUUAUAAAACCAGAUAAGAGAUAUGUCAAUUUUGUGAACAAUGUUACUAUCACUUUGUCGUAUGAAGAAAUGACCAAAAUAAAAGUUUUAGAUCUUGAUGAGUUAUUCAACUUUGUUGUUGAUGACUUUUCAGUUGAUAUC